UACGUAGGGUGCAAGCGUUGUCCGGAAUCAUUGGGCGUAAAGCGCGCGUAGGUGGCUUCAUAAGUCCGUUGUGAAAGUCAAAGGCUCAACCUUUGAAAGCCGAUGGAUACUGUGGAGCUUGAGUUCGGAAGAGGCCAGUGGAAUUCCUGGUGUAGCGGUGGAAUGCGCAGAUAUCAGGAGGAACACCAAUAGCGAAGGCAGCUGGCUGGGACGUGACUGACACUAAGGCGCGAAAGCGUGGGGAGCGAACAGG
rnacentral:rRNA from 1 species